UGGAGGUUGUCACAUGAUCUGACCAUCUCCCCGCGUCACUGGCCAGAAGACGCUGAACAGCAUACGUCGCCGGCGGUGAUGUCACUUGAUGGCGUCCGGCGCUCGGCGGCGGUAGGAGGAGGUGGAUGACAUGCACUGGGUAUCCAUUCACAAGGAUCUUGAUGAUCGAAACGGCAUUGGUGCAGAGACCAGUGGACUACCUAAGGACCAUCACCGAGACUACAUCCUACCCAUUGGACAUAUGAACUAAAGUUAACUGCAGAUUUAUCAAGCCUUGGAGAGUAAUAAAUAGCACGGUGAUAAAGUACCAACCAAUCAGCAACUAAUUGACAUGUCACAGGUCGCCAAUUACAACCCCAUUACUUCUUCUUUGGAGACAUAAUUUUGUCCCUAGUUCUUCUGGAAUAUAAUGUAAAUAUCAUACCUAUGGAGAAAUUGACAUUUAUUAACGAUAAGAUCAAUAACUAUAUUUAAAUGUUAUUUUUUGUAGAAACAACAUGUACAAACAGAUUGUAAUUGGUCCAUCUCUUUCUUCUUGUUGCCUGUUUUGCAUAUUUUUUGCAUAUUAUUCGGUGGAAGCCAUCCAUUUGUCAGAGUCCUUUUGUAUGUCUAAUAUUUUUUAGUAAUCAACUAAUAUUUUAAACUCUGAAAGAUACACAUGUUUUAAAAGAACACCUGUCAGUGAUUGCUAUAUUAGACCAUGUCAACCAAAUAAUCUGUGUUAAAAAUUGUUUAAAAAAAUGUUUUUAGGUUUAAUGUCUCAAUUGUAAAUGGAUUUACAUUUGUUUCAAAGCUGAAAAAAUAAGUGUAUAUUAAGACAACUUAUGUUCUGUUCUUUCUAAAGACACCCCUAAUGCAGUCACUAUCGACGAAACGCGUUGGAUGAUAAGGAUUUUGUUAAUACGGAAGCUAAUAAAGAACGCUGCCCUCAUAGAGGCACCUACUAACAAUUAAGGAAAGCUUUUUAUUAGUGAUUUAUGGACUGG